rnacentral:rRNA from 1 species
AACGAACGCUGGCGGCAUGCCUAACACAUGCAAGUCGAACGAUCCCUUCGGGGAUAGUGGCGCACGGGUGCGUAACGCGUGGGAACCUGCCCUUAGGUUCGGAAUAACUCAGAGAAAUUUGAGCUAAUACCGGAUAAUGUCUUCAGACCAAAGAUUUAUCGCCUUUGGAUGGGCCCGCGUUGGAUUAGCUAGUUGGUGGGGUAAAGGCCUACCAAGGCGACGAUCCAUAGCUGGUCUGAGAGGAUGAUCAGCCACACUGGGACUGAGACACGGCCCAGACUCCUACGGGAGGCAGCAGUGGGGAAUAUUGGACACUGGGCGAAAGCCUGAUCCAGCAAUGCCGCGUGAGUGAUGAAGGCCUUAGGGUUGUAAAGCUCUUUUACCCGGGAUGAUAAUGACAGUACCGGGAGAAUAAGCCCCGGCUAACUCCGUG